rnacentral:miRNA from 2 species
ACAAGUUUUGAUCUCCGGUAU